ensembl:lncRNA
GCGACUCCUCCAGAUGUAAGAAGUCUGAUUGUAUGGAAGGUUUACAGCCAAAGACAAGUACCAGGGACGGGGCUACGUAUUGUAUGGACGACCUCGGUAUCCAGCGAAAGUCAAGAAAAUGAGUAAAGGGAAAAUUGCGUUGUUUUUUUUUCAACUUGAGGCAGUUUAGUUUGCUGUAGAAAAGGCACCGCGCACACAGACGAGAAGAUGAGGCGCUCAGCAAGACGCUCCUUCUCAUUACAAAGAGCCACUACAGGGAAAAGGUCUUGAUAUGUUCAUGUCUACAUUGUAUGCAUUUAGUUCAUUGGAAGCGUACUAGAAAGAUAAAUAAAUAUUAUUCCUAAAUAUAUAUUUCCAUAUUAUAAAUAGUAUUGUUAUAAGUAUAACACAAUUAGAAUUGUGUUCUAUAGAUAUACUCGUGGAUUUAGCCAGCUAAUGGUCCAUAAUUAUUAAUCCUUUAAUAUAAUAAUUUACAACUAUUCCUGUUAGAAUUUACAUAUUUUAAGAUUGUACCUUACAUUAACUUUAACUCCAGAAAUGAUAAAAGAGAUAACUAAAAAAAUAAUUUAUUACACAUAAAUCAAAAGUGUCAUGUCAUAAUAUAGAUGCGUACAGAUGUAGAUCUGACUCAUUCUAUAAUGAGAACAUGCGUAGUGGUGAAUAUGCAUCACGCAGGAAUAUUCACGCUGCACAGCUGCAGUUUUGGGAACAUUUCCUUGUGGCUUCUGUGCGAAUCUCUGAUGUCUCCUGGUUGGAAUUAUUCAAAGAGGCCACGCGUGUGCCGUUAACGCCAACCCGGGUGGUUAAUCUUCUACAGCAAUGGCAAUCGCUGCACAAACUGUAUUCACAUCAUACUCAUUGAGUUGCAUGCUUUGGAUUAGCUUAUCUACAUACGUAUCGCACAAAACACCUACUUGAACAUUCCACACAGAUAUUUUUUUCGAGUAGAGGGGAAUAAUUGCAAUCCGGCUAUUUUCCGUGACUUCUCUGGAUUUGCUUGUCAUUCUUUUAACCUGCGAUAGUUGGGGCUCCAUAUGCAUGCAGAUAUCCACAUCUGAAAAGUCAAAUUGCCGGCAAUAGUCAAAUUAAACACGGACUAGAAACGGGCCAUCGGUUAUUAACCCUGGAACGUACGACGCGGCGACAAUAAAACUAAUUUCCAUGAUAAAAAAAGGGGUCAUUUGGAUUUGCGGGUGAAGCCUGUCUGCAUAAAUAUGGGAAAUAAACGUACGUGGGAAGAGCGUCGAAGCAAGAAAAAAAGUAGAACGUUGGACAAGUUCCCCCAGAGACAGAAGCGGUGCUCAUUGGGCGGAUGGCUCGGCGCCGACAGGCAGUGAAUGCAGCCGGCUCUUCGCUAUCCGUCACAUCCUAUUGUGUUCUAACGGCACGUUGUUCAAAACUCCAAUAAGCCAGAGUUCCUACAGGGAGAAGGUUUUGUGGGGAAAGUAUUAAAUAUCCCAGGAUUUUAUUGCCCUCCUUUCAUUCAGAUCCUGACGUGCCAUUUAACCUGCAGUAUUCAGGGCCUCCAUUGUGUGUCCCCAAAAAGAAAAGCACAAUGUGUUAACCAUUGUGUGAUGGUGGCUUCACUAUGCAGAGCUCAUCGCGCCCUUCAGAGGCCUCCGAGAUAAUCCUCUGCAUUCCCUCUCGCCUCCUGUGCCUUGGGUUCGGCUUCUGUCCGUAGGUCCCAGAACACAGAACCCUCACCCAGGAGACCGCCGCUCGUCUCUCGACUAAUUUCAGGUUACGUAAAUGAUCCUACCCGACCAUGUCGAAGAGGGCCGCGGGGACGAAGAACCAGCUCAUCAGGAAAUGGGUGAAAAAUGUAUUAAUAAAACUCAAUCAAAAGAAUACCAAAGAUACAAGAGGUAUAACAGCUUAUUGAGAAUAAUAAAGUCCCUAUUAACUAUCAGCAGCUAUGUGACAUGAUCAUAACCAAACCACAAAUAAAAACAUGCAUUCAUGCCUGUGGAGGCGGAGGAGUGUGUGUGUGUGUGUUUCAGUCUGUGAGAUAUCGGGUUAGCUAGAAGCUAAGCUAAUGACCACAUGGCAGGCCUUUGCUCACUUUCCUGCAGAGUUAAAACUCUCUCUGGGUGAAUCUAUAUGUGUGGUGGUAAAGCAAAAGGAAGACUCGGGGACAGCAGGGGACAGCAGGGGACAGCAGGGGACAGUGAGACACGACAGCGAUUAACAUCCUCACACACACUGGGAAGUGAAUCCUGGGCUCUGACACCAGUUCCAAAUGCCGGCGAAGAGAAUAUUACAGCCCAAAAUACAAUAUAAUAGAUUUCAUGCAGCGUGCAACAGGCGGUGGGGCCGGUAAGCGUAGACGAUCGCUGGUUAAUCAGUACAAUAAAGCCUAAAACCCAACAGACACGUAAGCCUCACUGUGCGUUUCCUCGAGUCACGUCCAACUCAGCAUCCGCUCCGUCCGGGAGAACCGGGCUGACUUACAGAGGAUUACGUUACUUCAGACAUGUCCUGGUCUCUUGGUAACCAAUGAGCACCGCAGAAACGACAGAAUGUCCUUCACAGCUACCUGCGUAUGUUAAAUAAGGUAGCAGACAGAUGGUCGUUACUAUUAAGGAGCAGGGACUUAGAAUGAAGCUGAAACAAGUGGUUCAACAAGCACUCUAAUUGGACUUAUGAUAUGAUUUUUUUAAUGCAUACCCCUGCUCUACAAAGUUAGUAGGAGCACUGGUAUUUUGCAUAAAUUAAGAAAAAUUAUUUUCACACUGUGGCACAAACAUAUUUUAUUUCAUUGUUUAAUUCAAAUUGUCUCCUUAAAAUAACAUUAUUUUGACAAAAUGAUCAGUGUUGUGACCAUUAAAUGUGUGUGAGUAAAAAAAAGUCUUGUAUACUGAUACACAACUGGUGAUUUUAGGGGGGGGAAGGGUUCCUUUAACAUAAUGAGGAGCAGGUUCUUCAUAACCUCACAGAGAUAUAAUGUCCUGUCCUUUCUUCUCACACACUGACGCACAACAAUGUUUCUCCUCUCGUUUCACAUGGAGAUAACUAGCGUGACCUCCCCGGCUCGGCCAUGGCACCAGUGCCCCAUAGUCCCUUUUUUAAAGUUCUUAUCAAAAACCAGACAGCGCUGAGAGACGCAACUAUUGUGUCCUCCGAGCCAAUGAGGACCUCGGCGUCCUGCGGAGGAGGUGUGUGCGUGUUGAGGAGGAAACCGAUGCAGGCCCACGCAAAGGCCUGCAGGCUGUUCGCUUGCACGGGGGCCUCGGCACAAUUAUUGCAGCGUUCUCCGUCUGCACGUGGGGGAGAGCUGUCAUCUCAUGCGUGCACGUCACAGCGCCGCUGAAUGGGGAGAAGGCCGUCUAUGAUUGCUGUGAAAGCUGAGCUCAGCCGUCCUCUUGAAAAGACAAACGCAGGGGGGGAAAUAGAGGACAAAGAACUACAUAAUCACUUGUGUUUUGCUGGGGCGUUUAUGUGAGUGAGUGUGUGUGUGUGUGGGGGGG